GCCGGCAUUUGGAGGGGCACAAGGGUUUUUCAAAAUGGAAUGUUAAGUUUCUUUAAAAUUUUCCCGCAGCACAUAUACCAGUGGGGAUUUGCCAUAUUUCUAACCUCUUUACAAUGCCGGUGAUUUCCACCAUGAGCUGCUGAUUUACCUAUGCAAUACUUCUAGUAGGCGUGUCUGGGAGUAGAACUAAAAGAAUGAGAGGAGUGUCUGAGCC